AACGCACAUUGCGCCCCUUGGUAUUCCAUGGGGCAUGCCUGUUCGAGCGUCAUUUGUACCUUCAAGCUUUGCUUGGUGUUGGGUGUUUGUCCCGAGGGACUCGCCUUAAAGUCAUUGGCAGCCAGUGUUUUGGUUUUGAAGCGCAGCACAAGUCGCGAUUCAAGGCUAUACGCCCGCUUCCACAAGCCUUUUUCACUUUUGACCUCGGAUCAGGUAGGGAUACCCGCUGAACUUAA
rnacentral:misc_RNA from 2 species